UAUAGACAGAGCUCAUGGGGAGGUUUAGAAAAUCCUGUAGAAAAUGUUGCAGUAUCUUUAAUUCAAAUCUUGCACCUGCUCCUAUUUUCAAAUUUACUACCAAGUACUAUUUGGCAAGCCACCGGAGCAUAUUGGGUUCCCAAAAUGUCACCAAUAUGUAAAAGUGACAAGAAAAAGUUUUGGUAUCAGGUGAAAAAUUACAAAAUGUCACCAAUAAAUUAAGGCCAUCGUCUGUGACCUAUCUUACAACAAUGCAUCUUUAUGCUCUUCUUCCACAAUGAUCUGGGAAAUUUGAUUGUUCUGAAGAUCAAUAAGCCCCAGUUGUAAACUGAUGCUAUCUCAAAUUGUUGGUAUGUGACCUUUUGAUGCCUUCUAUGUUUUUACAUGUAGAUGAGAAGGUUGUAGAUUGUUCCAAAAUGGUCAGCACAAUGUAAUAACCUUACGCUAUGAUUGAAUGCGAUGUAUAGGAAACAAAGAGGUAGAAGCAGCCAAUGGGGAUUGACAAGACCCACCCCGAAUUUCACCCUGAAACCCAGAGUAAGUCGUGCGGGGAUUACCUCCAAAGAAAAUUUACCGAAAAAUCGGCAUAACCUCCCUUGAAAAUGGACAACCCUUCCAAAUAAUACCUGCAAACACUUCUGAAAAUUUAAAUCCAACCUUAAACUCCUGGAGCCUCCGUGCUCCCCAAAUCACAACACCACCCAAAUUAUUUACUAAUCUAAACAAAUCUCAUAUCCAACCAUUUAUAGGUUCAGAGCAACUCUAACAGGAAGAAAGGAAACAUAAUAAAUUAACAAGCGGAAGCUAUAUGAUGACUAUGCCUCAUCUCCAUGUACGCCCGACCUUGACUAAGCUAACCUGCAAGCUGGGCAUUUUUAAAACGAAGGGCCCAGGGGAAAACAUUUGAAACACGUUAGAGUGAGUGGACAAAAAUAAAUUAACAAAUAAAAUAUUUAUGUUUCCCCAAAUCAAUUUCCAAGGAAAAUCGAAUGCAUGCUGCAAGCGAUAAAACUUUUUAUCUCAUAAAUAUCGAGCCUCUCAAGCUCUAUAAAAUAUGUAUGUAUUACACACGUCCAUACUCCCUAUAUAAAUUCAUGGGUCUAUAUAGGGCUACUACGCUCGCGUCUAACGCUCACGUCACGCCUUAAUGCGGUGCUACACUACGCCAUUAAGGUGGACAGACGGGUGCAUAAAUAUGUGCCCAUACCCCCUAUAUGAAUUAAAUACUCAUAUAGGGCUACUACGCUCGCGUCCAACGCUCACGUCACACCAUAAUGCGGCUAUAUGCUAUGCCAUUAAGGUGGACAGACACAUAGGGCUAGCUAGCAUUUUUAUACAUACUCUCCUCAUAAAUACAUAUUUAUAUCACCGAAAAUCCCAUUUUCGGUAACUCUCCAAGAGAAAUAAAUCGUCAAAAUCAAAAUGACGUCAAAAUGCUCCAACAAUUUAAAUGUUCAACCAAAACCAUAGCAUGCAUAUUAUUCAAAACCAAAAGUCCACUCACAAAUCUAGGCAUAAGCCCGACGAAAUCCAAAUCGCCACUCCAGAGAGGUUUCCUCGAACCCUGGCACAAAUAUAAAAUUAAUUUCCCAACUAAAAAUCCAAUAUUUAAACAAAAUAGGCAAAAUUAACCGAGAGCCAUACUCACGCUCAUCAUUGCCUAACUUCGAUACGGUCCACACCUCAACACUAAAACCAGCAACCUUAGCUACACCCUUCCACAGAUUAUACGACUUUAAUCCAAGAGCCGGAUUCUAUCCUAUUAAUCCGCCAAAAUUACCAAACUUCGGAAAUUCACAAACCUAACCAAAACUCAUCCAAAAUUCCAUAAUUUACAUNNNNNNNNNNNNNNNNNNNNAAAAUUCCAUAAUUUACAUCAAUAUACUCCCCUUAAUAUUCCACAUUUAAAACUAUACAAACUCCCAAACAGCGGCGGCGGCGCCACCAGUUCCGCCGGCAGCGGCGGCCGGAGGCCGAUUCCGGCGACCUCCAAUGCUCACCAAAUUUAAACAGCAGCUUCCUCUCAACCUACUCUACAACUUUCUUAACUGGCACAACACCCAAUUUCAAGCCUAACUAUGCCAAUCGAACGAAAACAACACAAAAAGCCCUAGAGCUUCCACUCACCGGUUCUCCUUACCUAGACCAAGAGAGGACGUGCUCUUUGGAGGGGUUGCUGCACGGGAGGAGAGCUUUCUUUUGAGCCAAGAAUGGCCGGCUUUGGUGGCCGGAGGAGGGAGUUCCGGCGACCGGAAGUUCUGGGCAGUCAAACCUUUCGGGUGGCACCGCUCCCUCACGAUGGCGCUAGGGCUCCUCUCACCGGUCCAGGGAGGUUGUUGGGUUAGAAGUCGACCGAACGGGACCGGUGCGGCAGCGGUUGGUGGCCGGACGGCGGCGGACGAGCGGCCGGAAGCUUCGGCUGCGGGAAAACUCGGGGAUGAGGCCGGGAGGGAGAGAAGAAGAGAGAGGGAAAAGAAAUGGGUGUUUGGGCCUCACACCCACCCGGUCCAACACCAUAGAACAACCCACUCCAAAAUAAAACACCCCGAAAAAAUAAUACCCGAAAAAAAAUUACCUUUUACUAGCUAAAAUUUACCAUUUUUACCGUCGUCAUUUUUUCCUCCUACAAAUAAUCCUCCGCACAUAACCGUCCCCGAAACCCCUCUAGGGACCAAUUAAAACUAUAACCUCAAUGACGGAGACGGUAAAAUUCUUAUUAUAACCAAGCUAGUAAAUAAGGUAAAAAUUUACGGGUCAGGAUGUGACAAUUCUCCCCUCCUUAUAAAAAUUUCGCCCUCAAAAUUUACAUACCUGACAUUCGAAGAGAUAGGGAUACUGCUACCUCAUUUGCUCCUCUAAUUCCCAAGUAGCUUCCUCUACUUGAUGACUCCUCCACAGAACUUUAACAAGAGGAAAAAGAUUUGCUUCGAAGCACUAGCUCCUUUUGGUCAAGAAUCUGAAUCGGCUCCUCAUCAUAGGCCAAAACUUUUUCCAAUUAAUCGAUUGCUCUCGCAACACAUGAGAGAGAUCGGAAAUAAACUUGCGAAGCAUGGAUACAUGAAACCCAUUAUGUAUCUUGGAUAACUCCGGAGGCAAAACUAACCGAUACGCAAGAGAGCCAACUUGAUCUAAAAACUCAUAAGGACCAAUAAAUCUCAGACCAAGCUUUUCACACUACCAAAACGUACCACCCCUUUCCAAGGACACAAUUUCGAAAACACCCAAACACUCACUUGAAACUCAUGGUCCUUCCUGCGGACAUCUUUAUAACUCUUUUGGCUACUAAGAGCUGCUUUGAGUCUAUCUUUGAUUCCUUUAACCCUUUCAUUUCUCAAAGACUCUAAAUCCUUCGUUGAACUACCACUAACGUUUGCACGUAAGUGAGUUCAGUGAUACCUGCUCCAGAGUACGAGUACCCGUAGGUAUGCACACUCUUUCCUGAGCAAUGGAAAAAGUUAACCCAAAUAAAGCGCAUACAUUUGCUAUCACGAUCGGGCUCAAAUCUCCAAACAUCACGUAACAACCUCAUCAUUACGCUGCUCACAACUCGACGAUGAAGCCCAAUUGCUAGGAAACUAAAGUUCACGCAUUCCCACAUGCUCAUCAUAAGGGUCAAAAUUAAGACCCGCUAAUCAAACAGAUUUAAGGAUGCACACACUGCAGAACUGCAAGAAUCACUACCAAUACCGAGGCACUUUACGGAAUCAAAACUCACACAAUACCGCAAGACAACCCUCUUUUGCUUAAGCGAUUAGUCCAACAAGAGUUAAAACUCAAUUGUCGGAAUGAAAUUAUGAAGUGAUCAAUAACUACGUCACUUAUGUCUCUUCACCAAAACUAUUACAUUACCAUUUUGAGCACUAUGAGAAUUCAACUCUCUCCUAAUUCUGCUAUCUCCACUAUUCUCUUUACCACAAACCAGAAGAUAAUUUGAAACAUGACUAUCAUGUGGAAACUGGAUAUUCCUCCUUGCUCGCCAUAAGCAAAAACGAACUAAUUAUGCCCACGAAAAAAAUUGGCACAGCCAAUUCAUGAUGCCCAACUUGACGUUGAAAUCCACAUAAAUAGAGCACCUUCCUUAAGCAUUGACAAAAUUUACAUCUCCAGCUAUGCUACUUAUUCGGGUACAACCGCGACCCCAUAAUCAAUAAUUAAAAGCACACGGCUCACUCUAGCCGUUCUAGAAGAAUGAUUCUAAAUGCCAAGCCUUUGGACCCGACAAACACAUUUUUAUUUUUUUACCUCAAAUUACAAUUAAUCUGAUUAUAGAAGACGAUCUGAAAAUCAGAUACGCUCAAGUCUCCGACACCUCCCAGGGCCACGGCUUCCCACCAAAAAGAUUUUCUGAUAACCGAGCUUGCAGUACCAUGCAACUAUCAAAUGCCAAGAUAAAUUUUUAUACAAGACCCAUUACUAUACCUUGUGGUUCACCAACCAACGAAAACCAUGAAUUCAAGCAAGAAUCAAAACUCAUGGCUUAACUCAGCUCAAGUUCCAGAAGAAAUGACUUAAAGCACAUGAAAGGCAAGUCCUCUAACUUCGAGCUCAAAAGCUCCACAAAUCUCCAAUAUCCGUCAGAACCCGCUUCGAAAUUGCACUAGAAACCUCCACUAAUCAUGCUGACACCAACGGAUGAACGCACAACCAAAAAAACGAAGACCUCUCUAAUCAAACUUGGAUCAAUGAGUGGUCCCACCACAAUAUGAUCCUGAGAAGAGACGCUAAUCAACCUAUCAAUAAAUUUACUACUUUCAAUAUUAAAACUCUUAAUAAACCUUGACUCUAGACGCUUCUUGAGUCAACAUGGGAAAACCUUCCCCCAUAACGCUACAUCAUAAAAAAUACCUACAACGACACAAACCAUCUUUUCAACAUCACCACACGACUAGCAGACUACCACAUAGGACUUACGACUCCAAGAUUCAUUGCUUAAUUGAACUCCAGCUCAUUUGGGAUCACGACUGGAUUUAUUCCGGAUCCAUGACUACGACACAACUACCAAUUUAUCAUUUACCUCGAAACUUCGACAUAAUAACCAGAAUCUCUACCCUUCAAAUCGAAGCGUUGAAUUCGCAUUCCAUAAUUCAAGCUCUGAGGAUACUACCCAAAAACUACAGUAGGAAUAAUUUAAAUAUUCCCACACACACCAUAACCAAAACUUUACUCCAUCUCACCUAAUUAGAAAUAAGAUGAGAAUAGAUCCUCCCAUUGUUAUGUCGUAGUUAGUCACCCAUUGCGAACGAAAUGAUGUCAACAACCAACUUCGAUCACAAAUUUGAGACUUACAUCAACCACCCGGAAUGACACUGCUAAAAAAAAUACUUUGGACACCCACGCACUUUUGCUCUAUGAUCCAAUGGGUUUUAUUCCACUGCUACCACUUCCACCAACUCCACACAACUGCUAUAGAAUACCUAUGACAAUACGUAAUAAAUUCACCAGGUGUUGUCAUAAAACUGGAGUGACCACAACCAUCCCGCUCUCACUCCACCAUUACUUUUCAAUUCCAUUUACAUUAUCAUCUUUCCAAACACUCAACAAAUCUGGAAACCAAACUUCAACACCUGGAACUCCGAAAGAAUCCAUACUGGCCCCAUGAUUAAAAUAAUAUAACUGACAUCUCACUCUACGAUUCCAAACUUGCUUGAAACUCAAAACAUUUAGUGCCAUCAAUAAAAUUUAAAAUUCCCCGACUGUGGCACAACAAGAAGUUGUCACAACGCACUGACGAAUGACUUUUGUAAAACCAACAAUCCAAGUCAUUCUACUUAGUGCUUUAACAAACUUCAACUAACCCACAAUAGAGACCAAAAUCAUCAAAAAUCUUGUUAUUCAUCGACUACUAUUAUCCGUCAUUUUCAAAAAUAUACUUCCAUAAAUAAAGUUGUAGGAACCAGGAUAUGUGCUGACAUAACCAGCAUUAUCCCAAAUUGUUCCCACUGCUUUCUGUUGCGGAUAAAAAUAGUCGGUAAAUUGGCUUUAACUCAUGACUUAUCUAAAUUGACAUUUAACUUUUUAUGGAGCAAUGCCUUGCAACCCAAACACUAGCCACAAAUCUCACAAGACUAAUUCGCUCAAGCUUAGGUCCGCAAUAACUCAUAUAGGUACCCCAUUGAAUUACGCUUGGAUACCUCACCUCAUCAUUUCAACUAACUUUUACAUCAAUAGAAAACACCACUAUUUCAAACUUUCUUUCCAACUCGACUCUCUCAAAAGUCACAUAACUCAAUACCAAAAUAUACCAUCAAUCAAUUUUUGACUUCAAUCUUGCCCACUAAAAAUGGACAACUCCAAGGCAUUAAUCAUCAACAUUUCACCCAACAGAUUUGCACAAGAUGCUCACCUUAGCAUCUUAAUUUGAAAUCUUAAUCUUAACCCAAUCAAUCAUUGGAUACCUGAAAAGAAUGCUAACAAGCUUUUUCGUUCCCCACUCGCAAACUAACUCCAACCAUUAAUAUCAAAGAUAUUAAAUUAAUGAACCUUGGAAUAGGUGCAAACUAUACACCUUUUCAAAACUCGAAGGAUGAACACUCAAGAGGUCGAUGUACGGAGGCAUAGUCUUAGAGAUGUAGACAUUUAUGGCACACUACUGCCCAUAAAUAAAAGAAGAACAACUACAUCACAAACCUAAUCAACACAUAGUGUCUAAAGCAUAUAAUGCUAAUAGAUCCGCCGCGGUCGGACCGUCACUCUAUAGACACUAAGCAUGACCAAGAGUAUGAGGUAGUACUAAAAAGAGAAAAGAAAUGAAUAACCUAGUGCUCCGAUACCAACUGACAAGACCCACUCCGAAUUUCACCCUGAAACCCAGAGUAAGACGUGCGGGGACCACCUCCAAGAAAAAUUUACCGAAAAAUCGGCAUAACCUCCCUUGAAAAUGGACAACCCUUCCUAAUAAUACUUGCAAACACUUCUGAAAAUUUCAAUCCAACCUUAAACUCCUGCAGCCUCCGUGCUCCCCAAAUCACAACACCACCCAAAUUAUUUACUAAUCUAAACAAAUCUCAUAUCUAACCAUUUAUAGGUUCAGAGCAACUCUAACAGGAAGAAAGGAAACAUAAUAAAUUAACAAGCGGAAGCUAUAUGAUGACUAUGCCUCAUCUCCAUGUACGCCCGACCUUGACUAAGCUAACCUGCAAGCUGGGCAUUUUUAAAACGAAGGGCCCAGCGGAAAACAUUUGAAACACGUUAGAGUGAGUGGACAAAAAUAAAUUAACAAAUAAAAUAUUUAUGUUUCCGCAAAUCAAUUUCCAAGGAAAAUCGAAUGCAUGCUGCAAGCGAUAAAACUUUUAUCUCAUAAAUAUCGAGCCUCUCAGGCUCUAUAAAAUAUGUAUGUAUUACACACGUCCAUACUCCCUAUAUAAAUUCAUGGGUCAAUAUAGGGCUACUACACUCGCGUCCAACGCUCAAGUCACGCCUUAAUGCGGUGCUACACUACGCCAUUAAGGUGGACAGACGGGUGUAUAAAUAUGUGCUCAUACCCCCUAUAUGAAUUAAACACUCAUAUAGGGCUACUACGCUCGCGUCCAACGCUCACGUCACACCAUAAUGCGGCUAUAUGCUAUGCCAUUAAGGUGGACAGACACAUAGGGCUAGCUAGCAUUUUUAUACAUACUCUCCUCAUAAAUACAUAUUUAUAUCACCG
rnacentral:lncRNA from 1 species